rnacentral:tRNA from 1 species
ACGCCGAUGGUGAAAUGGUUAUCACGCUUACCUCCCAUAGUCGGUAGGGGUUCGAUUCCCCUUCGGCGCA